CUUUUCAAGAGUGAUACCAGGGAGAGAGAGCACGGCUCGUUCGCCCAGAAACUGGAGCCGGGGCAGUUAUUAAAAAUCUCCCAUAUUGCUACUUUUUCACAUUGGAGUGGUUCUUGUUCCUACCAGGACAAGCGAAGAACCAACAAGUGUUAUCGAACGAGCAGGAGAUGAAGUGGGCGUGCAACCACCAGCACUUAACAACAACAACAUGCGAGUUCCACCAAAGGAGGAAACCGAAACAGACAGACCAUUACACUCACCACCGCCUGCCCCGGCCAAACAGACUCAGCUACCCAGGAUGGGGCUCGGUCCCUGGCUCCACCACCCUUGUGAUCCCGUCAACGGAGAGCCCAGGCGUAAUGGACACUAUGCAUGGAUGUGAAGCCCAGGAUCUUCUACUCUCCGGCUAAUUUGAAGACUUUGAGGAGGACCGCUGGGGAGUCCAGACGACUGCUGGAUUUCGCCGCAGGCGGGGAGACCCUCUGGGCUGAUGAACACCAAGAAAGCAGGACCCUCCACAGAGCUGCUGAGCAACCUGCCUCAUGUGAUGACUUCUUGUAUUCUGCCCAGCAGCUGUGAGAGCAAAGGAAAAAGCCUCACUGAGGGAUGGAAGGGACUUUCACAGUGUUAUGAACAGCCAGAGAGGCUGUCUCUGCAAACUGUAGCAUAUCCUCAGUGAUGCCCUGUGCUUCUAAUUUGAGCAAGGAGAACUUCCAUCACUCUGUGUGGUUUGUUUGUUUUUUCAAUCCUUCUUCUGGGAUGCCAACAAAAGUUCCAUAUACAUUUCAUCCUUGGUCUUCCUUUCCUGCUCUGCAUUCUGCAACUAAUAAUAGUCCUUGGAGACUCUGUGGCAUCAGGUAUAGGAACUGACAAAAAGAACCAAUAUUUAUUGAAGUAAUUCAAGUCUCCAUGACCACAAAAAUAAAAUAUUACUUUCCCCUCAAUUUUGGAAUAUGCUUCCAUAGCCUCUUGCCAGUCUGGGAAAAUUUCAAAAUGGUAGGACACCUCCCACCUUCAUUUUCCCCUUUGUGUAGUAACACUGUUCUAAUCCUAGGCUAUUGGUGUGAUGGUAAAAUGGCUGGGUGGAUGGGCAACAGGUUUGGGCAUUAGGAGUGAGUGUUUCCAUGGGGCAGAUUAAUAAUUGCUGCACAUCUUCAAGUUUCUCUUAUGUUGGAGGAUGUUGCCCUGAUAAAAGUCCCCGAGAGGCACAGAAGGGGCUUGUUAAAAAGGCUAUGGGAGGAGCAGAAAGUUGUGCAGUGAUAUUCACCAGAAUGCCUCUCUUCCCCCUUCCCUCCCCCCAAGAAGUGCUGCAGGACUGGAAGGGCAACCUUAUCUAUUAUAGUCAGCCCCAAGUAGAUUUUUCCCUUGCAAUGUGCCAAAACAGAGCAUUAUCUUUGCUUAAAUUCUUGCUUAUCACCUGCAAGCAUGCACAAAGUGCAUAAAAUUCUAUUGUAAUUGUUCUGAACCUAGGGGGUUAACAAUGUUUCGAGUCUGAUUACAGCUUGCCAAGGGUCUUACAAUCUCUAUGCAUUUUCAGUGUCUUACUUUGGGAAAUGCACUUAAUAAAG